AACAACUCCAUAUUAAUGACUUCCCAGAAGAGUGGAGGCUGUUAUAGCAGCAAAGGGGGGUCCAACUCCAUAUUAAUGACUUCCCAGAAGAGUGGAGGCUGUUAUAGCAGCAAAGGGGGUCCAACUCCAUAUUAAUGCCUUCCCAGAAGAGUGGAGGCUGUUAUAGCAGCAAAGGGGGGACCAACUCCAUAUUAAUGACUUCCCAGAAGAGUGGAGGCUGUUAUAGCAGCAAAGGGGGGGGGACCAACUCCAUAUUAAUGACUUCCCAGAAGAGUGGAGGCUGUUAUAGCAGCAAAGGGGGGGUCCAACUCCAUAUUAAUGACUUCCCAGAAGAGUGGAGGCUGUUAUAGCAGCAGCAGGGGGGUCCAACUCCAUAUUAAUGACUUCCCAGAAGAGUGGAGGCUGUUAUAGCAGCAGAAGAGGGGGUCCAACUCCAUAUUAAUGCCUUCCCAGAAGAGUGGAGGCUGUUAUAGCAGCAAAGGGGGUCCAACUCCAUAUUAAUGCCUUCCCAGAAGAGUGGAGGCUGUUAUAGCAGCAAAGGGGGGACCAACUCCAUAUUAAUGCCUUCCCAGAAGAGUGGAGGCUGUUAUAGCAGCAAAGGGGGGUCCAACUCCAUAUUAAAGCCCAUGAUCUUGGAAUGAGAUGUUGGACGUGCAGGUGUCCACAUAUUUUUGGUCAUGUAAUGUAUCAUCAAG
ensembl:lncRNA